AUUGCCUCAGUAACGGCGAGUGAAGCGGCAACAGCUCAAAUUUGAAAUCUGGCUCCUUCGGGGUCCGAGUUGUAAUUUGCAGAGGAUGCGUCGGGUACGGGUCCCUACCGAGUUCCCUGGAACGGGACGCCAUAGAGGGUGAGAGCCCCGUCUGGUAGGAUACCCAGCCCAUGUGACGCUCCCUCGACGAGUCGAGUAGUUUGGGAAUGCUGCUCUAACGGGAGGUAUACUCCUUCCAAAGCUAAAUACCGGCUGGAGACCGAUAGCGCACAAGUAGAGUGAUCGAAAGAUGAAAAGCACUUUGAAAAGAGAGUCAAACAGCACGUGAAAUUGUUAAAAGGGAAGCACUCGCUACCAGACUUGGGUUUGGCGGUUCAACCGGGGCCACGCCCCGGGGCAUUCCGCCAGCUCAGGCCAGCAUCAGCUUUCCGUCGGGGGCAAAGACGUCGGGAAUGUGGCUCCCCCUCGGGGGAGUGUUAUAGCCCGGCGUGUCAUACCCUUCGGGGGGCUGAGGUACGCGCUUCUGCAAGGAUGCUGGCGUAAUGGUAGCUAGUGACCCGUCUUGAAACACGGACCAAGGAGUCAACCUUAUGUGCGAGUGCCCGGGCGUAAAACCCCAGCGCGGAAUGAAAGUGAACGUAGGUGAGAGCUUCGGCGCAUCACCGACCGAUCCUGAUGUCCUCGGACGGAUUUGAGUGAGAGCAUAUAGGGUUGGACCCGAAAGAAGAUGAACUAUGCGUGUGUAGGGUGAAGCCAGAGGAAACUCUGGUGGAGGCUCGCAGCGGUUCUGACGUGCAAAUCGAUCGUCAAA
rnacentral:rRNA from 1 species